rnacentral:rRNA from 1 species
AUUGAACGCUGGCGGAAUGCUUUACACAUGCAAGUCGAACGGCAGCACGGGUACUUGUACCUGGUGGCGAGUGGCGAACGGGUGAGUAAUAUAUCGGAACGUAUCCAUUAAUGGGGGAUAACGAGUCGAACGAUUCGCUAAUACCGCAUACGUCCUACGGGAGAAAGCUAGGGACCUUCGGGCCUGGCGUUAAUGGAGCGGCCGAUAACUGAUUAGCUAGUUGGUGAGGUAAGAGCUCACCAAGGCGACGAUCAGUAGCUGGUCUGAGAGGACGACCAGCCACACUGGAACUGAGACACGGUCCAGACUCCUACGGGAGGCAGCAGUGGGGAAUUUUGGACAAUGGGCGAAAGCCUGAUCCAGCCAUUCCGCGUGAGUGAAGAAGGCCUUCGGGUUGUAAAGCUCUUUCGCAAGGGAAGAAAACUUACCCUCUAACAUAGGGUGAGGCUGACGGUACCUUGAUAAGAAACACCGGCUAACUACGUGCCAGCCGCCGCGGUAA